CUUUAUUUGCAAAAAGAAAAGGAGUACUUGUGGCACCUUAGACUAACAAUUUAUUUGAACAUAAGCUUUCGUGAGCUACAGCUCACUUCAUCGGAUGCAUGCCACAAGUCCUCCUUUUCUUAUAUCUUAACACGCUUUUUUGCAGAUGAGACCAAGUACUUCCAGGAUCAGUAAACUUUUUUUUCAAACAACUUUUUUUUUUUUCUCCCUGAACCAACUAGCAGAAAGAAUUUUGAUCUCUAGUUAAUUAUAUUGUGAAAACCUGGUGUGUAUUACAAAUCCAAUUUUGUAAUGUUUUGAAAAGGAAGCCUUAAAUUGUACUACAGGUUGAUGUGCUAGGCUAUUUUUUGGGGGUGGGGAGAUCCGUGGUGCAUUUUAAUUAGUAGUUAAGUUCACUGCUAACAAAACUAAAUAACUUUUCACAAGUAAGAGAUUGAAAGGAGAGAGAAUAACAGAUUUAGGUUAUGCAUAUCUGAAUCCUUUUUUGUCACUACAAAAUGUAGUUCUAAUAUGCGGUUCUUCCUUGUAAUAUUUUUAUUUUUAUAUGUAUAAGCAACUAGUUUGAGUUAAUAAAACAUUAAAAUAGAAUAGAAUAUUGAUUUACUCUCCUAGGUUGGGCUCCUGUAUUGCUAGUAUCAUAGACAGUGUGACUCGUUAGUAAGACGGCUGUCAGCAGCAGUAGAACCAGAAAAGUCAAUUUUAAUAUUUAAAACUGUCUUCCGGAGUUCAUAUCAACAUUGGUUCAGGGAUAAGUGAAUUCUUCUGAACCUUCAGAAUGUUGCAACGUACAUUAUGGAUACAGUUUCCUCUUUCAAACAAUGUCUGCAUUUCUCAAUUACCCCUGCUGCAAUAAAAUAGUUUGAUAGCCUUGAAUAGUGCUCCUGAGUCCGUCCCUUUUCACUGCCUUUCCUUAUAACAUUUUAGGUAUGUCUACACUGUAGUGUAAGUGCAGGCUCAAGUCUAACCCCACACCUUCAUCUACACCCAUUGCGCUAACCCAGGGCUAAGACCUAGGGCUUCAGGGAACAAGCCUAAAUCACACUGGGACUCAGGGUUCGAGCCCAAUUGCUUUGUGGCCUCACUUAACUCUUGUUCUGGGUGUCUGCCAGAAGUAUCCCACAAUCCCAUGGGUUUAAAUGGUUGCAAUGGAGGCCCAACAGAACAAGCCUUUUGCAAAAGGUGCAGCAAACCUGGAGGAGAUGGAAGCCGCACCUGAGCCCGGCCUCAUGACCUCCACUGGCUGUUGUAUGUCCUGAACUUGACUCCUGCCCCAACAUACCUACACAGACCAUUCCAAGCAGAAGCAUUUCCAUGAUGAAAUUAUGGUCGAGGCUCUUUAGAGGGUAGACAAGCAGGUCCAGUACCAGCAGCAAAGGGAUGUAAGACUGGAGCAACAGCAUGCUGAGAGGCAGAAAAAAAGGCUUAGGCUUGCCACACUGCUGGAAGAAAGGGCUUCAGCAAGGGAGCAGGCACUUUCAUGUAGUUCCUGGAACAAAACCAGCAGCUAAGGGAGGAGGAAAGAGCUCCAUAGUGAACUGUUGCAGAGCCCAUCUCCAACAUGUCUGGAAGAGCAUCGGCUGUGUUGCCUCUCACACACCCCUGCAAUGUAUCCUCAGACCAGAAUUAGCUUGGGCAACUCAGUGUUGGGGUGGCCCAUGCAUUUAAGCUCCCUGAGUGGCUGGGCAGGGCUACUAAACCCCACGCAACCUUCAUUCACGAACCCAUCUCCUGUGGCUAUCUUCAUCCCUGUUCUCUCGGUGCCAAGUGCAUGGAAAACCAAAGAAAGAAGGGAAGGAGAAUGUACGGCCAGGGGACACGCAGCGAUAGGGUGUUUGUGUCAUGUUUCCUGCCCUUAUUUUUCUUUGGAAAUGUUCUUCUGUUACUUGUUUUGGGGAAUUGUACUGGCGGCUGCCUUGCCUAGCAAUGGAUGUCUAUUGUACUGUGUUAACACAUUUAUAAAUAAAGCCUUUAAUAUCGUCAAGAAAGUU